UACCAGCACCCCCGAGUGGUCGGGACGAUUAUUGGGCCUAAAGCAUCCGUAGCCGGUCCUACAAGUCUUCCGUUAAAUCCACCUGCUUAACAGAUGGGCUGCGGAAGAUACUAUAAGGCUAGGAGGCGGGAGAGGCAAGCGGUACUCAGUGGGUAGGGGGUAAAAUCCUCUGAUCCAUUGAAGACCACCAGUGGCGAAGGCGGCUUGCCAGAACGCGCUCGACGGUGAGGGAUGAAAAGCUGGGGGGAGCAAACCGG
rnacentral:rRNA from 1 species